CCCUCCCUCCGGAAAGCAUGGAUCAGAAGGGUGGAGGACAUGAUUUUGCACCGUCAUAUAUUUCUCUAUUAUUAACCGAUUCGACGAUUUAUAGAUUUCUCGGAUUCCUGUUUAGUAAAGGCGCAACUGCAUUUUAACAUCUUGGAAACUCAUUUACCGUAACAAAGAUCUCGAUUCCUUUUGUUUAUUGGAGUCCGGAGCAGGGGGAGGGGUGUUGCUUUUAUUGUCUCCAACCGCCCAAACUGCGGUGGUCAGAUUAAAUGUGACAUUUUCUUUCUAGCUGGGUUCAAAUAUCGCAUAAACAAAUUCUGUCAGUGUUACCGGCUUGUUGUUUUCCAGGUCGACCGAGUCGCUGCAAUGGAGAAUUUGCUGAGAAGUUUCUCAAGGGCAUUCUGAAGAUUUAUUUUUCAAUCUCAUCGUGAAGACCCAAGCAAGACAGCUCAAGUUAAUCUCCACCCAACCCUUUCGUACCCUGUUAUUUAUUUGCAAGAAGGUUGCAAACUGUCGGGGAAAAUACGGUGCGGUCUGCAGGCUGAAGAAUUCACGUUUGCUGAAAUAAAACCGUGAACUUUUUUGUAUUUUUUUAAACUGAAAGGCAGUGAGGAGCCGCGAGUUUGAGCCGUAAUGGGGCUCGUUAUUCUGUUGCCUCCACUGACGUGCUGAACAAAUGAGGCACUCUGCUCAUUAAAAGGUAGGCGCGAUGAAAGGUCUCUCAAGAAUGAAAGAUCUGUAUGACUAUUGUGUGUUUUAUGGGAGAAGCAGAAUGAUAUAAGGAAAUCGGAAAUAAAAGAUAAAAGAACUAAGGUUGUGAUCAAUAUUCAACUCAGAAUUUGAUACAUAAAAUGUAUAUUUUACACAGACAGCAAUAUAAUUAACAAAUCAAAUGAACAUUACUUGCAACGUAGACAUUUACAAUGAGUAAAGGACUGAUAGCACUUCGAAUGGACGAUGGAAAUAAAACAGCUAUCGGGGCCAUUCUUAUAUCAUUGGAUGUAAAAUGGCCAAACAUCUUUACCUCAAUAGUUCCGAAGGAAAUAAGAUGGAUAAUGCAACAGAUAUCACUCGAAUGUUGUUCGGUUGUCGAAAGGUCAACAGUAUUCCUAUUCAGCUCCUGGUCGUGUGCAGUUUAAUAAAUUACAGCAAUCCUUAUUUUUUUUAAAAAAUAGAACGCGACUGUAUCCCGAUGUACAGCAAUCAUUGCUGUAUGCAAUAAAUUCCCUCAAUCAUUCAGUACGGGUACAUGAUAGUCUCCUUUUUCAUUCUUCCCGUCCCCUCACUCAAAUAAUCUCUUUAACAUCCCCCGUCUAUUGUAGCGCGCCCCCCCCCCCCAAUCCAAACAUAUCCUGCAGUGCCUUGCUUUGUGUCCUCUAGCCAUCUUCAGUAUCCUAAUCAAUGCUGUAACUACCAACCCGGUGGUUCCUACCUUCGAAGCUGCGCAACAGACUGCCUGGAAUGAAAAUGUACACUUAAACUGAUUCAGAUCCUGCUGACACUUUUUGGGGAAAAUCCGACUAAAAAGAAAGUACACCAUUGAUGGCAAAUAUGUUCGAGAAAACACAACU